CUCGUUGCGCAGUCGUCCUAGCGUCAUUUCUGUUCCGUUCUGAAAAUCGGUAGCUGUCACUGGUGCGGCGCUGCUCGGGAGGUCCGGUCGGCGAGCUCAGAGGAGCUUGAGACCGUCGCAGUCCCCUCGGACCCCCAUCGGUUAAGAGGAAAAAUGGUUGAAGCAGAUCGCCCAGGAAAGCUCUUUAUUGGUGGGCUUAAUACAGAGACGAAUGAGAAAGCCCUUGAGGCAGUGUUUGGCAAAUAUGGACGAAUAGUGGAAGUUCUUUUGAUGAAGGACCGAGAAACGAAUAAGUCAAGAGGAUUCGCUUUUGUCACUUUUGAAAGCCCAGCAGAUGCAAAGGAUGCUGCCAGAGACAUGAAUGGAAAGUCCUUAGAUGGGAAAGCCAUCAAGGUGGAGCAAGCCACCAAACCAUCAUUUGAAAGUGGUAGACGUGGACUACCCCCACCUCCAAGAAGCAGAGGCCCUCCCAGAGGUCUUCGAGGAGGAAGAGGAGGAAGUGGAGGAACCAGAGGACCCCCCUCCCGGGGAGGACACAUGGAUGAUGGUGGCUACUCCAUGAAUUUUACCAUGAGUUCUUCCAGAGGACCUCUGCCAGUAAAACGAGGACCACCACCACGAAGUGGAGGUCCUCCUCCUAAAAGAUCAGCACCUUCUGGACCAGUUCGUAGCAGCAGUGGACUGGGAGGAAGAGCCCCUGUGUCCCGUGGAAGAGAUGGUUACGGAGGCCCGCCACGAAGGGAGCCCCUGCCUUCUCGAAGAGAUGUUUAUUUGUCCCCGAGAGAUGAUGGAUAUUCCACUAAAGACAGCUAUUCAAGCAGAGAAUAUCCAAGUUCUCGAGAUACACGAGAUUAUGCACCACCACCAAGAGAUUAUACUUACCGUGAUUAUGGUCAUUCCAGUUCACGAGAUGACUAUCCAUCAAGAGGCUAUAGUGAUAGAGAUGGCUAUGGUCGGGAUCGGGACUAUUCAGAUCAUCCAAGUGGAGGUUCCUACAGAGAUUCGUAUGAGAGUUAUGAUCAAAUAUUUACCAUUGCAAUAUGAAGGAAACUCAACAGUUCAAAAAUUGCAACUUAUCACUGGAAAGUGGCUGAGUGUCUACUCUAAAAUAACAAGCUGUCUGGAAUGUCCUCUUGAAAUACACAACGUCUUCAGUCUUUUCAAACAAACAUUAAAAUCAAUCCGUUUCCGUACCUCAGCAGAUGAGCAAUUCCCUCUUAUGGCCAGCAAUGGUAGAGUUUAAAACUUCCCAGUUGAGAAAGUGAACUUUUAAUACAAAGAAUUCUGUAAAUUCAGAUUUAAAUGUUGUAUAUAUACAAUUUAUAGUGUUGCCAUAUUACCUGACCAUUGACCCUGCAGGUAACUCACGUAGUGCUCCACCUACACGAGGGCCCCCGCCAUCUUAUGGUGGAAGCAGUCGCUAUGAUGAUUACAGCAGCUCACGUGACGGAUAUGGUGGAAGUCGAGACAGUUACUCAAGCAGCCGAAGUGAUCUCUACUCAAGUGGUCGUGAUCGCGUGGGCAGACAAGAAAGAGGGCUUCCCCCUUCUAUGGAAAGGGGGUACCCUCCUCCACGUGAUUCCUACAGCAGUUCAAGCCGCGGAGCACCAAGAGGUGGUGGCCGUGGAGGAAGCCGAUCUGAUAGAGGGGGAGGCAGAAGCAGAUACUAGGAACAAACAAAACUUUUGGACCAAAAAAAUCCCCAUUCAAAGCAACAAACAAAAGUGGAAACUUUCUGUCAUAAACUACCCAAGGACUACUAAAAGGAAAAAUUGUGUUACCUUUUUAAAAUUUCCUGUUCCCUUUUAAUAAUUUUUAUGUUCUUGUGAGGGAAAAAGUAAGACGUGUUUAAUUUUAUUUGCUAGUAUGAGCUGCUUUCAACAAGCAAAUGGUAGAUGUGUGAGCCUUGACUUGUUCCUAGUGUUGUAAUUUUCCAAGUGAAAGUGUCCCUGAAGGCCAGCCACUUCCUGAUUUUUUUCCCCAGUAAAUGAGGCAAGCAACCCCAAGAUCAUCCACAAACUUCCAGCCAUCUAGAUGGCCUCUGGUCUCCACUGAGAGCUGAAUCGCCCUGCCUGUGCAGACAAGCUAGCCAUUAGAGAGGGUUGGUUGGGUGUGCUACUUUCAGUAUUUCAGGGUGUCUUCCAACUGAAAUCUCAAUCUUCGCAGUAUAUAUAUUAAAACCAACGAGCAAACCUGAGCUCCGAUGCCUAGGAUGUACUGUUUACCCAGAAACCCCCCAAAAAAGCAGAUGGAUACUGGCCAUAUUUUGCUUUUUUGACACUUCCUUGGGAAUCUACAAGAACCUCCCUUCCCCCUCCCCGAGUAAGACCUAAGACCAUUUAAGUGUGUGUUAAACAACUACAAAAUACUCAAUAAAACGUUUGGCCAAAGUCAACCCUGAAGCUGCAAACCGAUGCUUGCUCUUACUGUUUCAAAUUUUUGCAACUCUGUAGUGUCUCACUUUUAAAGGAACAGCUUGAUUGCAAAGGAGAAAAUAGAUAAGCAAUGAAGUUAUCUCCAACUUCCUAAAGGCUUAUGACUUCUAAAAAGUGAAUCUAUCAGCAUUCCACAUCAGAUUUAAAGCACCAAAUGCCCGUGAAACAGCAAAGAUGGUUGAAUCUAAUGGUCAUACUGUCCUGGAGUGCUGAUUGAUUGAUUCACAGUAGAUAAAGCUGGCAGUAAGGAACAAUCAGAUGCUCAGAGUUGCUGAAGCAGAGGAACGCUGAGACUAAGCCACAGCAGUUGCUUACCCAGUGCGCAUCAGAAUUGGUUUGGUACAGGCAAUAGUUUGUUUUUUUUUUUUUUUUGUCUUCAAGGGAGGGAGGAUGAUUAAACCGAAUCAGUGCUUGUUAAUCCUUAAUUAGGGAGUGGCAAUCACUUAAAACUGACCCAAUGGAGAGAGGGAGACUAAUUGGUAAGUGGAGGUACCUACCCAAGAAGUUCGGGUGACUCUUUGUAGACAUUCAGUCGUUCGGGCAAAGUCAUAGGGCAACUCUGCAAUUUCGAGCUGAUGAUCACUGAGAGAAGAACAUUGAAUGAGCUGGGGCUGUAACUCCAUGGUGAGUGCUUGCCUAAGCACCAGUGAGGCUAGCAUUCAACCCCUGGCAGGACACACAAACAUUUCAGUCAGAAAAAUUAUACCUCACUCAUGUCUGACCCAUUUGAUGAAUUUUGCCUCAUCAGUAGGAAACAUUAUUAGUUGUCUUGUAAAACUAAGAAGGGGAAGAACAGUGCUGGGAAAUGAAAGUCAAAACUGGCAACGUUAGGCUAGUUAGGAAAACAUAUUGGGAACAAAAAUAGGUCACUAGGUCACUGUGGUUUUAUAAAAGGUACUUUACCCUCAGGGCUCCAUCUUGGAAACAAACCAUGAAGCUAUAACUCUAGUUUACUGCUUUGGAAACUCAGCCAGUAAUGUGAACGCAGAUAAUCUCAACAGAAGCGGGUUGAGUUUUAGAGUCAAAGAAUUUAACUCCACUUGUGAGAUUUUUCUUACGAAUUUGUUACAGUGCUGUUGAGGGGAUUUCAAGCCUUUCGUCCUCUAAUCAGGCCCGGAGUAGGUUCUGCUGUCAAGACCUUUAGCUCGUGACAUUUUAUAUGCAUUUUUUAGUUUGUCAUGGGCAAUAUUACACUAAAUAUGAAUGUUAAAUUCAAAGUGGGAAGUUGGUAGAAAAUUUCAAGAGACUUUUUUGACAAGUGGUAGAAUAUAGAACUAGCAGGUCUAAAAUCUGCAAUUAGAAAAAAAAAAUUAGCCUUGAUUCUUCUGGCUAAACUCUGGUUGUAGAAGAAUUUGAAUAAUACACAAAGUGCUGUGGUUUAUUUGGUAGCUGGAUGUAGAACAUUAUAGAUCAUUUAUUUAUUUAUUUAUUUAUUUUGGAAUGUUUUGUAUUGAAGCCCAAUAAAACUUGAAUGUGUGUC